GGUGAAGCUCCAACUCACUGGUAUUUCCACAUUUUCCGGAGAGAACUAGAAGAGUCUGCUGAAUAACUGAGCUCCAGACCACUGGCUCCACAGUACACCAGGGAGGUCACACCUCAGAGAUUCAGUGUCAGAGAGGCCUCUGUAGACAGGGACGGCAUGCACUCGUCAGUUGGCUCUGCUCAAUACCUGGAGUUCUGGAUAAUGAGGAGCACAUUCUGGGCAGAACAGGGUGCUCUCCUGCUGCAGCUCUUGGCAGCAGAGAGGAGUGUGGAAAGGCUAACCCAGGAGAAUAAAGCAGAAAUGGAGAGAAGCCUGGGAGAAAAGGAACUCUUUGUUGGGUGCGACGAGCAGGUCUGCAGACAGGACUCUCCCAUCUUCUCACCUACUCUUCAAGAAGGGAGACCGGUUUGGCCAACUGGUGGCCUCCGGCAGGAAAAGCAACCUGGCACAAUCCCCGCAGGCCAUGGAAACAGUCGUCUGCUUCUCUUCUUCUUGGAACAGAAGGAUGCUGAGUUUCAGACCUUUGCUUCUCUCCUGACAUCUCCUGGAGCAAGCUCCUUUUGACCUGUUCAGGUUGGAGGGAGGCAGAGCAUCUCAGUGGUCAAAAACCUUGUCCUUGGAGACAGGUGGCUUUAGGUUUCAUUCCUCGCUUUGUAGCCUCAGGCAAGUGACUUUACCACCAAGUCUAAGUCUCCUGUUUGUAAACCGAGUAGAACAAUUCCUACGUUAUUGGAUUUGAGAGAGUGUUCAAUGAGGUCACGUGUAGAAUACGCUUAGCAUUGUGCCUGGCAAUUAGUGUGUACUUAAUAAAUAGUUGUUAUUUUUAUCAUCAUAAUAGCUAUUAUUAUUAGUUUUAGUGUCAGAAUUUUAGUGAACUAUAGAUUCUUAAGGAAUUGUCAUAGAAAGGUGAGAAUAACCCCUAACAGAGUGACACUUGUCACAGAACCAAGAGACAGUCUCUGAAGGUGGCCCUGUCUGUUCUUCUGGGUUGGUUCUUGGUGGCUGGGAAUGCCUUGAUCCAUCAACCAACCAACAGAUCAUGUGAUAGAAUUAAAAUGAUUCUCUA